rnacentral:rRNA from 1 species
UACAGAGGGUGCGAGCGUUAAUCGGAAUUACUGGGCGUAAAGGGUGCGUAGGUGGUUGCGUAAGUUAGGUGUGAAAGUCCCGGGCUUAACCUGGGGAUUGCGCCUAAAACUGUGUAGCUAGAGUACUGUAGAGGAAGGUGGAAUUUCCGGUGUAGCGGUGAAAUGCGUAGAUAUCGGAAGGAACAUCGGUGGCGAAGGCGACUUUCUGGACAGAUACUGACACUGAGGCACGAAAGCAUGGGGAGCAAACAGG